CGAACAACAGUAAGGCAGUUCAUAGGGAAAAAGAAAUAGUAAGACAAGAGAACGAACUGCAUCUGAAAAUGUGUAAAACAACAUCAUCGAAGGAGGUGGUGGGAGCCCGCAUGAGUAGAGUCUGGGAGAUCGAGUUGAAAAUGAGAUUCAUGCUUCAGUCACAAGAGCUUAGGAGGAGUUGCCUGGAGGGAGCAGGCAAAAUCUGGAUGAUUUCCAGGGAAAAUCAGGAUGAACCAUCUUCCUGGCUUGUUCAAGCUUGAUGAUUUUUCACUAGACUCGGGCCAACUCUCCCAGGGCAAGGCUAUGCACCAUCCUGCAAUAGUGACAGUGCUGGGCAUGACUGCUAUAUAUUCGUGGACUCCUUCCCCUGAUCAGCAUGAGUAGCUAUUCUAAAUAAACCCCACUCACAACA
rnacentral:lncRNA from 1 species